rnacentral:lncRNA from 1 species
GUCUUUUUUUCUUUUUUUUGAGUCAGGGUCUUGCUCCGUAGCCCAGAAUGGUGUGCAGUGACAUGAUCACAGCUCACUGCAGCCUCAACCUCCUGGGCUCAAGUGAUCCUCCCACUUCAGCCUCCUGAGUAGCUAGGACUACAGGCAUGUGCCACCACUCCUAGCUAAUUUUUUAUUAUUUGCAGAGACAGGGUCUCACCAUGUUGCCCAGGCUGAUCUCGAACUCCCAGACUCAAGAAAUCCUCCUGCCUUGGCCUCCCAAAGUGCUGGGAUUACAGACAUGAGCCACUGCACCCAGCCUAGAAGUAUAUUGUUUAACUACCAAAUAUUUGAGACUUUUCUAGAAAGCCUAUUCUUACUGAUUUCUCAUGUAAUUCAGAGAACAUAUUCUGUAAGAUUUUUAAAAAUUUAUUGAGACGUGUUUUAUAGCCCAGAAUGUGGCCCAUCUGGGGAAUGUUGCAUACCCUCUUGAAAAGAACAUCAAUUCUUCGGUUGUUGGGUAUUCUAUGAAACAAACAGAAAACAAGUAGCAAAUGGAGCCUUAAAUUUAAACAUAUCAAUAAUUACACUAAAUGUGACACUGACUCCUCUGCCUCCCUCUUCCAUUGAUGAGGACCCUUGUGAUUACAGUGGGCCCAUCCAGAUAACCCAGGAUAAUCUCCCCAUCAAAAAGUCAGACAAUUGGCUGGGUGUGGUGGCUCAUGCCUGUAAUCCCAGCACUUUAGGAAGCCAAGGCAGGUGGAUCACCUGAGGUCAGGAGUUCGAGACCAGCCUGGCCAACAUGAUGAAACCCUGUCUCUACUAAAAAUACAAAAAUUAGCUGGGCAUGGUGGCAUGUGCCUGUAAGUCCAGCUACUAGCGGGGCUAAGGCAGGAGGAUCGCUUGAACCUGGGAGGCAGAGGUUGCAGUGAGCCGAGAUUGUACCACUGCACUCCAGCCUGGGCAACAGAGUGAGAUUCCAUCUCAAAAAAAUAAAAUAAAAUAAAAUAAAAUGAAAGUCAGACAAUUAGGGAGCCUGUCUGGCCAUGGUGGCCGCGGCUGGUGGUUGGCGCGGCUGCGCUGCGGCCCGGGGCAGUGCGGAGCCAGGACAGUCGCGG